UGGUACUCUUCGCUGCUGCCCCUGACCUCGGACGUGGGGUAACUCCUCUUGGCCGCCGCCCUUCGGGCAUGGGGUCCUCCCAGCUUCCAUCCCUGACCUCGGACGUGGGGUGGCUCCUCUCGGCUGCGCUUAGCGCGCCGGUCGCAGCCGCCUGCGCUUAGCGGUAUUUUGUUACAGCAGCUCAAAUAAAUGAAGACACAAGGGAAAAUCAGCAUGACAUCUCAGCUCAAUCAAAAUACCGAAAUUUCCAAGAAGUCUUCUCAGGUGGCCAAAUUGGGAAUCACCUUUAACAACAGCCUGCAGUGGCAGAGCUCACAUGUGAGGCAGCUAACUGUCCUGCUACCAGAAGACGAUGAUUCUACAUGUGAGCUCAUCAGCUUAUUGCAAGAUAUCCACAUCAUCGUCUCUGACAUCACCAUCGUCCUCGUGGUCACCAUCAACAUCAUGGAAAACCAGCGUAGGGUACUUCAAAACCACAUGCUUUGGAACUACACAGAUCUGAUUUCGAAUUCUUCCCUCUCCAGUGUGUUACCGUGGGUGCUUCACUAGCAUGUUUGUAUGUCAGUUUCUGCACUGAUUUAAGUGAAAGUGAUUAUGAUACCCACAUAGGCGUCUUCAGGAGAAGCUAGGGUAAAGUAUUGUUGGGGUGCAGCCUGUAAGCCCUAGUAGUUGCCCAGCCUUAAGGCAAAGAAAGGGUCUAGAGACAGAGACAUCCAUGGCUUAUUGGAUGAGACCUUACAUAUAUGAAGCAGGUUCCUGGAGCAACACCCUAUCAAGUGCAGCAGACGGCAGGCAGGACAUGGCAGCAAUCUUUGUCACUUCGGGGAGGAGGCUACCAUUUAUAGGGGGAAUUGAUAUCAGGUUGGC
ensembl:lncRNA